rnacentral:misc_RNA from 1 species
UACAGAAGCACAUACGCUUCUUACAGAUUUCUUUUUGAUUUUUUGGUUUCUAUAACAAGAAAGAAACAGAUUCAUAGUCCCCAAAUCAAGAAUCAAGAAUCAGCACCACCGCCACCAUUACUACCACUUCAUAACCAUGACCACUGACGACCACCACGCUUUCAAGUUCCUCCCCAAGCGGAUUAUCCUUGUCCGCCAUGGCGAGUCAAUGGGCAACAUAGACACCGCCGCCUAUGUAACCACCCCUGACAACAAAAUCCCAUUAACCUCAUUGGGUCUAGACCAGGCCCGUGUCGCUGGGACUCAUUUGCGCAAUCUAAUUUCCGAUCACGGAAACUGCACCACCAACUGGCGGGUCUACUUCUAUGUCUCCCCCCACCAGCGUACCCGAUCCACUCUCCGGGAGAUCGGACGGUCGUUUGAGAGACAGAGGAUUAUUGGAGUUAGAGAGGAGUGUAGGAUUAGAGAGCAAGAUUUUGGUAAUUUUCAGAUCGAGGAGAGGAUGAAGGUGAUUAAAGAGACCAGAGAGAGGUUUGGGAGGUUCUUUUAUCGGUUUCCUGAAGGAGAAUCUGCUGCUGAUGUUUUUGACCGCGUUUCAAGUUUUCUUGAAUCUCUCUGGAGGGACAUAGACAUGAACAGGCUUCACAAGGAGCCUUAUCGUGACCUAAAUCUCAUAAUUGUAUCGCAUGGAUUAACUUGUCGUGUAUUCCUAAUGAAGUGGUUCAAGUGGACAGUGGAACAAUUUGAGCACCUAA